UACGAGGGAUGCAAGCGUUAUCCGGAAUUAUUGGGCGUAAAGCGUCCGCAGGUGGUUUUACAAGUCUGCUGUCAAAGCGUGGAGCUUAACUCCAUAACGGCGGUGGAAACUGUAAGACUAGAGGUCAGUAGGGGUCACGGGAAUUCCCAGUGUAGCGGUGAAAUGCGUAGAUAUUGGGAAGAACACCAGCGGCGAAAGCGCGUGACUGGGCUGAUUCUGACACUCAUGGACGAAAGCUAGGGGAGCGAAAGGGAUUAGAUACCCCUGUAGUCCUAGCCGUAAACGAUGACAACUAGGUGUUGCGCGUAUCGACCCGCGCGGUGCCGUAGCCAACGCGUUAAGUUGUCCGCCUGGGGAGUACGCACGCAAGUGUGAA
rnacentral:rRNA from 1 species